rnacentral:rRNA from 1 species
CCUACGGGGGGCAGCAGUGGGGAAUAUUGGACAAUGGGGGCAACCCUGAUCCAGCCAUGCCGCGUGUGUGAAGAAGGCCCUCGGGUUGUAAAGCACUUUCAGUGAGGAAGAACGCCUGGUGGUUAAUACCCAUCAGGAAAGACAUCACUCACAGAAGAAGCACCGGCUAACUCCGUGCCAGCAGCCGCGGUAAUACGGAGGGUGCGAGCGUUAAUCGGAAUUACUGGGCGUAAAGCGCGCGUAGGUGGCUUGAUAAGCCGGUUGUGAAAGCCCCGGGCUCAACCUGGGAACGGCAUCCGGAACUGUCAAGCUAGAGUGCAGGAGAGGAAGGUAGAAUUCCCGGUGUAGCGGUGAAAUGCGUAGAGAUCGGGAGGAAUACCAGUGGCGAAGGUGGCCUUCUGGACUGACACUGACACUGAGGUGCGAAAGCGUGGGUAGCAAACAGGAUUAGAUACCCUUGUAGUC